rfam:Aureobasidium subglaciale EXF-2481 unplaced genomic scaffold scaffold_7, whole genome shotgun sequence.
UUUUCAGGAUGAUUGUAUUUAUAUUCAGUUCUGCUACCAAGAAAAUUAUGCGGAUACUCAUACACCAAGCUUACCUGUCUGAUCC